UACGUAGGGUGCAAGCGUUAAUCGGAAUUACUGGGCGUAAAGCGUGCGCAGGCGGGGAUGUAAGACAGAUGUGAAAUCCCCGGGCUCAACCUGGGAACUGCAUUUGUGACUGCAUCGCUGGAGUGCGGCAGAGGGGGAUGGAAUUCCGCGUGUAGCAGUGAAAUGCGUAGAUAUGCGGAGGAACACCGAUGGCGAAGGCAAUCCCCUGGGCCUGCACUGACGCUCAUGCACGAAAGCGUGGGGAGCAAACAGG
rnacentral:rRNA from 1 species